CAAUGGCGCCGCUGCCCGGGCGGGUCACGGGCCCGGCGGAGCAGUAAAUAACCCGCCAUCCCUGCGGCUAGACAGCGCACCCGACUCGAGAAGCGCGGACUGGGAAGACGAGACCGCAGGGCGAGCUGGAAAUAAAGUUUCCCAGAUGGCUCUAGGCUGAAUCUUGAACGUUGUGAUAGAGCUUGCCAGGCCUACUGGGAGCCCACACGCUGAAUGAAUAGUAUCCUUUUCACAAUUGUAUCCUUACUGCCUAAGCCAGGACUCUGCACACAAUUAUCUCCAAUAUUCCAGGGCCUUCUUUCUCAUCUCUAUCUUCACCAUACUCAUUGGCCUUGGCUGGCUCUUCAGCUCUUGCCUCCCUAGUAGAGGAAGCAUGACCACCAACUUGGAUUUGAAGGUAUCCAUGCUCAGCUUCAUCUCAGGUACAGACCAAGACUGGCAGGGAAUACCAUGGUAAAAUAGUCAAGGUAACAAAGUUUCUCCAUGGAACUCUCAUACUCUUUUUCUUAUCUCUUUGCUCUUCUUCAGUAUCAUGUCAACUUGCCAGCUACCUGCCUUAUCUAAUUAUAUAGAACACAUCUUAGCUGACUUUACCAGGGUAUAAAUCCCAUUCUCUCAUCUUGGUCAAUCCCCAAGUUUUUAUCUUUUUGAUCCUUGCCAUACUUAUGGCCUCCAGAGGCCAAAGAGCUGGGUGGUGGCAGGGAAAGCAGACUGAAGAUGCUGAUGGAUUAUGACAUCUUUCCUUCUGGUCCUAGCUACCUGCUUGCUCCUCUGUCUCAACCUGUUUGUGGCACAGGUUCACUGGCAUACUAGGGAUGCCAUGGAGUCAGAUCUCCUAUGGACCUAUUAUCUUAACUGGUGCAGUGACUUCUGUUACACGUUUGCUGGUGAGUCACUCCCCUGCUCUAUGCUAGAAGGAUGGAUAGGGAAAUCACUUCUGGAAAGGGAGGCAUAAUCUAGGAGAAAUAGAAACACUGACUAUUCCUUUUCAGAACACUGAUACUUGGAGGGUCAGUAUGGUGUAACGAAGGAAGGGUGAAUUUUGGAGUGUGAAAAGCUAGCAUUAGCAACUUGUUAUAUCACAAAGUGAGGCAUGGACAAGUUGAGAAACUUGGCCAAGACCACACAGAAAAUAGUGGAACAGAAAUCAGAAUCUAGGAGGUUCAAGCUUUGUCCUAACCAGUCUGAGAAAUACUAUAAUGCAAUUGGAGCCCAGGAGGGUAAAGUAACUGUGCUGAGGGAGAGAAGGGUUCACUGAAAAGAUGCCUCUUAAACUGGUUAUUAAAGGAUGGGUAAGAAUUUUAAAAGCCAAAAGACCAUUGCCUACUGAACCUCACCUCAAAUUAUUCUCUUCCCCUAGGGAUUGUCUUUCUUCUCAACUACUUUACUUCCAGAUCUCCUACCCGUGAUCAAAGCAUCACUGUGAUUCCAACAGAGAUAUCAAGGCUGGGGUUUGGUCCAGUGACUACAGUAUCACCUGCUAAAAAUGAAGGGCCAAGGUCUAAGAUGAAAUCUCUAAAUGUGAAACAGAAAAAUUUACCAAAGGCAGGACUGUGAUGGUGAUAGGAAAACCUAACUAUUGCUUGUCUUAAAAGCAGGGGAGAAGCUGAGUUGGGAAUGAUUGCAUAAAUUCUUGGAAACCCUCUUAAUAUCAUGUCCAUAUUUCUGGAGAAGACAGCAUUAAAGCUAAUGAAAUGUC